CACCAGCUCUCACAAGGAGAGGAUGAAGACUUUUGCCAACUCCCCACAGUAGAAGGAUGGACAACCUAUGAAGCAGUCAGUCCACAGGAAUGGAAACUGCUUGGUUGGAUCGGAGCCGUGGGAAAACAACAUGUUGCUGAAGGAGAUAUGUUGCCUGGAGAGAUAUAUUGCCGGAGGAGAUAUGUUACUGGAGGGGAUAUGUUACUGGAGGGGAUACUUAAAGGAAGUAUCUAGCCAAAGGAGGUAUCUAGCCAAAGUAGGUAUCUAGCCAAAGGAGGUAUCUAGCCAAAGGAGGUAUCCAGCCAAAAAGAGGAAAACCUUUAGUUUAGUUUAGUUUAGUUUAGUAUUUGUUUCACUUUCAAUAUAAAUGUUCAACUA